rnacentral:siRNA from 1 species
AGGGCAGUCCGGACGGCGUGAAUG